rnacentral:lncRNA from 1 species
GGAAACUUUUCUCUUAUUUCUUCUGGACAGAUCCUUGUAAAUAAAGUUCCUGAUGUGGAUGGGUGUUCGUGCCCAGGAUUGUAAAAUGGCCUCUUGGAUUGAAGACAUCCCGUGGAUGAAAAGGGUCUUCAUGAUUAGUUUCAAGUAACGAGUAAUUUGUUUUGAUGCUCAAACCAUCCACGUUUUGAACCUUUCCCUGCAG